GAAACUGGAAACGUCACAGAAACGUUGGGAUAUGGUCAGUCCCGAAGGGGCACAGCGAUGCCUCUUCGAACAUGUAUUGAAAGAAGCCCUAAAUAAAUCAUGGUUUAGUUUGAGAAACAAAAUAGUGGGCCGUAGUAACCUUUGACUAGUAAGUUCUCAACUUGGCGCCGUAGUUCUUCGUGUUCUUCUGGGCUUAUCCUAUAGUGUGCUAGAUUUGGUAACACUACAUUGGGGAUAAGGUCGAUAUGGUGUUGAAUAUCACGAAGAGGUGGUAACCCUGCCGGAAGUUCAUCCGGAAAGAGGUCACUGAACUCAUCUAAAAUUGGCACAAAGGCUGCUGGCGUAGGUUGAAGUUGUGGAGGAGGUAGAGAUGUCGCGACCAAAGCAAAAAUCGGAGGAGAAUCAUGAAGCUCGAGUUCGAAUUGUGCUUUUGAGAUGAUCAAAAGAUUUUGCUUAGUUUCCGAUUGGGGAGAGUUGGUGGCGGUUAGAUCUUUCUCCGGUGAAGGUAGCAAAGUAAUCUUUCGUCCUUGGAAUAAGAAAGAGUGAGUAUUGGUUUUGCCGUUGUGAGUAACUUCUCGAUCAUAUUGCCAUGGUCGACCAAGAAUGAUAUGUGACACAUCCAUUGGAGCGUUGUCGCAGUAGAAGGUAUCUUUGUAAAAAGACCCGAUCGAGAGAGUUAUUGGGGUACGUUGCGAGACGUAAACCUCGGCACCAGUUUGCAUCCAUAAGAGAUGGCACGGGUGCGGGUGUGCUUCAAUUGGCAGUGCUAAUUUUCGAACCGCUUCAGUGGAAACGACGUUUGCGGAACAACCUGAGUCGAAAAUAAAACGACAAAUCUUUCCUUUAACUGUACAUGUCGAGCUAAACAGUGCUGUUCGUUGCCAUGGUUCGCUAGUCUUGGGAGCCAAGCAUUUACGACGGAGCAUGAGGAACGUUCCUGUGUCGCCAGUUACCUCUUCUUCUUCUACUUCUUCCUCAUAGUCUUUGUCAUCAUCAUACACAGGGUCGCCUAUGAUAUCUUUGUCACUUGCAAGUAAGCCUCGUCGCCCAAGCGUUGGACAAGCUGAAUAUGGCCCCGUUCUCCACAAGUAAAACAUCGCAGAGUGUUGGGACGCGAUGGACGUGCUUCUAUUGCUGCGGGGGCUACUUGCUCGCCGGUUUUGGCGUGUUGUCCAUUGUUCGUUGUAGUUGUGUCGCGUGCCGUCGAAGACCUGGUGUCGUCAUUGACCGGCGUGUUUCGCGGUCGGGAGUUUCCGGUCCAUUGAUUAGCUCCUACACGUGUUUGUUGUUCGACAAGCAGUGCUCUUUGGCGAGCUUCCGAAACAGAGCAAGGAUCAAACUGAUGGAGAAUAUUUUGUAGUUGAGGUCGCAAACCCGCGAUGUAACGUGCUACUAGUUGAUCUUCCGAAUCCUGAAUGUCGACUCUUGUAAGGAGUUGAUAAAAUUCGUUAGAAUAAUCCUCGACAGAGCGUGAUGCUUACCGGAUAUUAUGAAACUUCUGGAACAGGAGACGCUCAAAAUUAUGCGGGAUAAAAGAUUUCCGCAUAUGUUUCUUAAGCUUGUCCCACGAAGUGGUUUUUUCCUUCCCACGGCUAGUUCGUGUUAACUUUAAUUGAUGCCACCAUGAGGCAGCGUGGCCGCGGAAACGAGUUGUAACAAGAGGUACUCGCUUCUGUUCUGGAACGUCCUUGAAUUCGAUAAAUUCGUCGACAGUAACAAACCAGUCGAGUAAAUCCUCUGCGCCUCCAUGGAACUCGAGGAUAUCAAUUUUAAUACCCGAAUUCCAACAUCGAUCGUCGUUGUUGCGGUUGUGUUGCUCCUGACGGUGAUCAUGUCGGUGAUUGUUAUCGGCGAAGGGAUUGUCUUCAUCGUCGGCCUCAUCUAGGUCGUCAAAGACGGGGUUGUUGUGGCGUUGUUGUCGUUGCGGUGCCUGUGCGCAGGGAGCUUCAGCGUUUGCGGCGUUGGCUGCGAAGGCCGCUUGCACACCAGCCUGUACACCAGCCUGAAUUGCAUCAGUCAUCGUUCGACGUAUAUUGUCUUGAAAGUUUUCCUGAAAGUCCUCCAGGAAUUGUUGCAUCUGUGCCGACUCGUUGGUUGGACGAGGAGCCAUUGAAAUCUAAGAUCGUAAAACUACGAUUAAAAUCGCAGUCUAAGAUCUCUGAUACCAACUAAUAGAGCGGAAGUAACGAUAGUAACCGAUAACGCAAAGAUAACGUUGAAUUCUAAGAAUGCCCGCUAACUUGCCUUCUUAAGAUCUGUUGAAUUCUUAGAGAAUGCCCAGAAACUAAGGUUUCAAGAGUUGUUUAAAACAAAGCCCUUAAGUUUUUAUAAAUCAAUAAUCAAAGUUGUGUCUUCUUACAAAUCAAGAAAUCACAUUAUAUAGAGAACUAAAGACUCAAAGCCAUCAAAGAAAAGGAAAUCUAACAUACUUAGAAAAGGAAAGCAAAGAUAAUUAGGAAAAGGAAAUACGAAAACCAAAGCACCACAGAGUAAGGAUGCGCUACAUCACAGGUUUAGAUGCUUUGAAGAACAUGGCAUCUGAUAUGAACGAGGAGCUGGACCGUCAAGUUCCUCUGAUGGAUGAAAUUGACUCAAAGGUAGUCAAUAUGGCCAGUCAAUUCAGAGCGUAAGUGGAAAGGUCAUUACUUUAAAAGAAUGUUAUGGUUUGGUUUCAUUUUGGUUAGUUAGUGUUGUUUGUGGUGUAUGUUAUUGAGCUAGAGCCUUCUGUUUAUGUCUCAGCAGGUAGUGGACUUGGGAGUGGAAGUGUUGUUUGAUCAUGGACUGAAAUUUUGCAUGUUUGAUUGACAGAGGUGAGAUAGCGAGUCACGGACUUGGGAGUGGAAGUCUUGUAAUGUUUUGUAUUUUUAUGUGUCACGGACUAGAAAGUCUCGUGUGCCUCUUUGUAAUUUUAUGUGUUAACAGAUUUGGUAAUAAAAUAUCAGCUUCCCUUUUAAAGGCUCGUGUGUCAUUCUUGAACCAUUCAUCAGCUUCUCUCUUAUUCCAAUUGUCAUUCUUGUUUUUCUUUUUACAAAAUUUUACUCAAAACCUCCGUAUUCAGCUUAUGUCUCAUUGCAUUCUCCUUCCUUUCUUCAACUAAUCAAAUUUUUCAUCACAAAGUCUAAGUAAAACACAUAUAAACACACAUAUGGCAUCUUCUUUUCAAAACACUUUUGAGGGAUCAUUUGACGAAGAUUUUCAUGUUUAUUAUACUAAUCUUUAUUUUAUGUGUUUUUUAAAUUUAUGUUUUAAAUGUUAUUUUUAAUAUGUUUUAUUUAAUAAAUAUUUUUUUUUAAAACUUAAUUUUUUUUAAGAAUCCUAAAUUAAGAAACUCCCAUUGAACCACUUAAAAUGGGAGUUUCUUAACUAAGAACACUUAGUUACAAUUUAUUCAUGAAAAAUUAUUAAGAAACUCAUUAAGUGUGAUAGAGAUAAUCAUGCUCUUAAUUAUAACUUUUUUAUGUUUCUCCAUUCCUAACCACCACUUUAUAAUUAUGCCAUCAAGCCUUUGUUAAUGUCAAUUUUUGAAAUUGAUGAAAACUUAAAUAUGUAUUUUCGAGUCAUAAUAGGUAUAUAUAAUUAAAACCCAAAUUAGAACCGAAAUCGAAUUUAAAACGGGUUCAACCGGGUUAUCAGUGUGUUACUAUAUAUCCGAACCGCAGAGAGUAAACCCAAACCAAACUUUUAUAAUAUCCUAAUAAGAUUAAAUUUGUGCUCCCAGAAAAUCUGAAUUCAAAUAAUUAACUCCGAACUGAACUGAUUAGACACUCAAACGCUUAUGCCUACCAAUUUUUUUACCCAAAAUAAUACAUUAAAAUUUUCUAUUUUAAUUCACCACGCUUAAUGGUCCAUCCAGGUUAGAGAAUUUUGAUGCGAGAUUUGCACUGAGAGAUUAAGAGAAGAGUAAGAAUCGGUGAACUAUUUUUUCAAAAAAAAAAAAAGAAUCGGUGAACUAAUUAUAUAUAAUAUUAUUACUUUUUCAUUAUGUGUAUUGUUGCAAUGUAGAUUAACAGAAAUAAAAAUUUAGCUAAUUAAUUUAAAAUAAUUUUCUUAAUUCUUGUUGUCUGAGUUUUUUUUUCUUGGGCAAAUAACCGUAGCUACCAUUCAUCGCCCUAGUAAAGCUUAAGUCAACAAUCUAGAUACAAUAGCCAUUAUUUGAUAGAAUAUGACUUCCCAACAUCAAAGAGAAACUAGUAAGGAACAACAGGCUAAUUCUAAAAAGAAGGAAAAAAAAACACGCUAAACCGAUUACAAACACACACCUUUAUUACAAGAAUUCCCUUCCCAAACACUUCUAAGCGACAUAUUAUUUUUUAAAGCUGACAUAAACAUAUAUUUCAUGUCUGUUAUGACUUAUGAGCUGCCCGUAUUCCCAUGUUUGCAUCGGUUGUAGAUGGUACAUUCGCUGUUCUUCUGACUAUAGAUUGGGGUGCAGAGACGAUUCAUUGAAGACUUACAUACCGGCUGAGGCUUCAAGUUGGGAUAGGUUAAAUAGUUCUUCUCAUCCAGCACAAGGGAGACCCAAAUUACUUCUUCACCAUCUUCAUGAACACCCGUGAGAUUUUGCCAGCCAUUUAGCAUAUUACCUGAGGUUGCGACGGCAAGGAGCAGAAGGACGGAAAAAGCUAUUGACUUCAUUUGUCCAACUAUUUGUCUGGCUUUUUUUAUCUUUGGUGGGAGAAGGGAUAGGGAAGAUAGAUAUAAUGAUAGACUGAAAACUUUGGGUGGUCCAUAUUUAAUAUGAACUUAAUGAUUGAAUUAUCA